CAUAUGUUUGUCACUAAUAUUAGUAUACGGAAGGAUUUCCUGUACAUGAUGUUUGUUUGAGAAAAAACCUUUAGUUAUGGUUUCUCCAUGUGAACUAUUCUGACGGAAAUAUGUCAAUCAGGUACUCCACUAUUAUGCAGCUCUAAAAGUAAUUAUUUGUCUUUAGAGACUACUUUGUGUCGAUUCAGUUAUAUCUUUAUUCACCUUUUUCAACUAGGCUGAUCCAUACUCUUAUGGAACUAAUUUUGGUGUGCCAUAGGUAAUAGGUGGUGAAAUCUCUUCCCUCGAACUGAUGAAAAUAUUUCCCUUUUUUCCUUGCAGCCUUACUAAUUAGUUUUGCAACUCUGCUCCUACAGUAUACAUUUAACCAGUGAUGGAUGUGGAUACACAUCUGACAUAUGUUUCUGUUGUACCAGUGUUUCCUGGUAUGUUUCUGUUCUUUUCUCAAAUUUGCUUUCAUUCCAGUUACUAUUUGGCGCUCAGAUACAAAGUAUUUAGCCACGAACGUUUGAAUUUAUAGAGAUGUUAUCACACUUAUAGUUAAGAAGCUUAUGCCAUAUGAUGGCAGUAUUAACCCCUUCAUGAAAAUGUGUUUAAAAGGUAAUGAAAAUCAGCUGCUGGAUGCUCAUUUACGUUCCUUUUUUCCCUGUUCUUGUUGUACACAGUACAAAUCAGUUUCCAUAAUUUCUGGUAUGGUUGCUUCAAUGAUGAUUUUUCCAGAAGCACUUGCCUUUGGAAUUAAAGAAGAUCGGUUUAUGACACGGACCAGAGAUCAUACAAAGGGGUGAGCUAAUUAUGUUAUAUUGUGCUUCAUGCUAUUCUAUCACGGUUUGCGUCUUAAAAAUUUCCCUACAGAUUUCAGGGCUAGAAAAUAUGCUAAAGACAGAUACAGAGAAGACAAUCAGUGCAUCAAUAACAUUUAUGUAUAUCAAUGCAGUCUAUGAUGUAUGCUGUCAAUAAUUAUGAAUAUCAGUGCAGUCUAUGAUGUAUGCUGUCAAUAACAUUUUAUAAUUCUUUGGUAACAUCACCCAAAACUAUUUAUUUGUCUUCUCUAUUUUAUUACAGUUAACUUUGUUUUAGAUAGGGUGUUAAUAGAAAACAUUCAUUAUUUUCAUCAGCUAUAAGUGUACAUUAUGCAAAUGACAGUAACAAAAAUAGCAUGACCCAAAUUCAGGUGAGGACCCAACCAAGAGACUGUUGAUGAGAUCAAUGACACCAUAUGGAUGGACAGGCAGAAGCGGAGCAUCUCACGAAGCAGCCAACGAACAAGAGGAGCAAAGACAUCAUCUCUUGCAUCGCCGUAAACAUCCGCUGCUAGCAGUGUUUCAGCCG
rnacentral:lncRNA from 1 species